UACGAAGGGGCUAGCGUUGCUCGGAAUCACUGGGCGUAAAGGGUGCGUAGGCGGGUCUUUAAGUCAGGGUGAAAUCCUGGAGCUCAACUCCAGAACUGCCUUUGAUACUGAAGAUCUUGAGUCCGGAGAGGUGAGUGGAACUGCGAGUGUAGAGGUGAAAUUCGUAGAUAUUCGCAAGAACACCAGUGGCGAAGGCGGACUC
rnacentral:rRNA from 1 species